GAACACAAAAUGGCGACACGUGGUUAGCAUUCGUCGCCAACGAGAAAUUGGGGUCGGCCCGAAAGCUCUAGAAUGCACCCCCCUUCUUCCCCGGGGCCUUCCACCUCCGCGAGUUUUAUGACUUAAAAAACCCCACAGGCUGGUCUGAAGGUCGGAGGCCUAAUUUUAACGCGUUUUCCUCCCUUUAAUUUGAAACGCGAACGCGAAUGGCUGUAAAAUAGGAAGACAAACAUAAAGAUGAAGUGCUUAAUUCAAGGUCACACAAUGUCGGGGAUGGACCUCCAGAUUUCCUUACUGGAAAACAAGCUCAGGGCUCCCACUGAUUGUACAUUAUGAGACGGAGUCUUGCUAUGUUGCCCAGGCUGGUCUUGAACUCCUCACCUCAAGCGAUCCUCUCGUCUUGGCCUCCCAAGUGUCAGGAUUACAGGCAUGUGCUAUCACACCCAACCUGAUACAUUGCCUUUAUAAAUUUUUUUUUCUUUAUUCUAAAAACCAGAAAAAACAAAACUGGAUACAUGUGCAGAACAUGCAGACCAAGUGUGUUGGGGACUUGAGAUGCGUACAUGAGUGUUUGUGAUGUUUCCUGCCGAAAGCACAGGUGAGACGUGGUCUUGUAACACAGUGGUUAAGAAUGUGACUUUGGAGCCAGCCUGCUAGGGGCUGAAUUCUGACUCAGCCAUUUACUAACUGUGUGACCUUAGGCUGGAGUGCAAUGGCAUGAUCUCGGCUCACCACAAUCUCUGCUUCCUGGGUUCAAGCGAUUCUCCUGCCUCAGCCUCCCAAGUACCUGGGACUACAGGCACUCGCCACCAU
rnacentral:antisense_RNA from 1 species